ensembl:lncRNA
UUUAUCUAUUUUAGCAUUUCAUACUGUGGGAGUAAUUGAUAUUUUAUGCCAAGCUUAGUAAUGCUACACCAGACUCCAAUAGCAAUUAACACAAGUAAAGAUUUUGGCUUCUAGUAGGUUUUUAUGAUAGUGAAGUAGUUUGGGAAACCAUUGCCAUAGCAAUACUAUUUAAAACAAAAUAAUUAACAUAUUAACCCUUUUGUUAUAUAACAAUCCAGUACAAGAAAAAAAAAAAAAAAAAUUUCCGGGUGUGGCUGUAAAAGAAGGGCUGAUUAUAAUAUAGAGUUGCAGCCCUUUCUGUGUUUGAUCAUUAAAGUAGACUGUGUCAUGGACGGUGAUGCACUGUUAUUCACUGAAGUGUGUAGAGUUAUACUGUGUUGUUGUGUGGCAGGCUAAGUGAAUGUCAGACUUUAUAGGAGUGUUGCCUGCAAGAUCUGUCACUUUAGUGUGAUGUCAGAGUCCCAUCAUCCACACUGGAGCAUGUGAACAUGACACUAUCCAAUAACAGCAUAUCACACUUUCAUGAAUAUAACAAACAUGUUUCUAUAGAUAGGCAGAAAUAGUUGAACCACAAUUCUUUAAUUCACAGACAACUAUCACACAAUGCCAGGUAGGAAACCGGGUUGCUAGGAAACGCCAGGUAAUUGACAGGUUUAAAUGUGACUGUGGGCCUGUGAUUGGUCCGCUGCGCGACACAUCGAGUGGGCGUGACCUUAGGUGUGGUCCCCAAAUCUCCACUGAAGCGCACAAGCUCUCACUAUAUCCCGUAGCCGCUCGGGAGACUCGUGUUGUCGCAGCACAGCCUGUCGGGUUUGGAAGAACCACUGAGAGCAGCGAUGACUGUCGAACCGAUUCGCUCGACUCUGGCCACCGUCUCGACGGACGACACCUCUCUGGUGCUGCCGAGCGACAAAAUGCAGCGGACGGGGCAGCAGCGCGUGCUGGAGCAGGUGAAGUCCAUUAAGAGAAACAAGUCGAAGAUGGUCAAGAAAGACUCCAUUCCGUCGCCAACAUCUCCGGCAUCGAUGACAGAAUACAGUGAACCUAAAUUCCAGUUCUCACCUACAAAUAUGAACGGCACACUCUUCAAAUCUAAUGGCUCCAGCAUGACGGCAAGCCACAAAAGAAUGACUGUUCGCAGCUUGUCUGUGCCCAACGCGGGGAGGUCUACUACCGUACGAAUUAACCGAGCAACUGGACAAUCCAUGAAACUCCUGGAGAAUAACCAACUGGCUCGAUCACAGACAAUCAUCAAACCUUCCCCCAUCCAAUCACAGACAGUGAGGAAAGUCAGCUUGACCAAGAGCAAAUCAGAAGCACUGGGUGCGAGUAGUGCCGAGGGAUCUUUGCCUAACAUCACUCUGCAGGAGGCAGUGGAGUUUCUGUCAAACUCAGACAUCAGCUAUCAGCUGUGUGGAGCUUCAUUCAUACAGCACCAGACCUUCACUGAAGAAAGUUCCAAACAAGAGGUCAGCAAACUAAAACAAGAUCUCAGUCAUCAGAAUUAAACCUGUCUACUGAUGCAUAUUGGGUGAUUCUAUUAGAAUGAGCCAUAAAAACCACCAACUGUUUUCAUCUAUCUAUCUAUCUAUCUAUCUAUCUAUCUAUCUAUCUAUCUAUCUAUCUAUCUAUCUAUCUAUCUAUCUAUCUAUCUAUCUAUCUAUCUAUCUAUCUAUCUAUCUAUCUAUCUAUCUAUCU